UAGGGAAUCUUCGGCAAUGGACGCAAGUCUGACCGAGCAACGCCGCGUGAGUGAAGAAGGUUUUCGGAUCGUAAAACUCUGUUGUUAGAGAAGAACAAGGACGUUAGUAACUGAACGUCCCCUGACGGUAUCUAACCAGAAAGCCACGGCUAACUACGUGCCAGCAGCCGCGGUAAUACGUAGGUGGCAAGCGUUGUCCGGAUUUAUUGGGCGUAAAGCGAGCGCAGGCGGUUUCUUAAGUCUGAUGUGAAAGCCCCCGGCUCAACCGGGGAGGGUCAUUGGAAACUGGGAGACUGGAGUGCAGAUGAGGAGAGUGGAAUUCCAUGUGUAGCGGUGAAAUGCGUAGAUAUAUGGAGGAACACCAGUGGCGAAGGCGGCUCUCUGGUCUGUAACUGACGAUGAGGCUCGAAAGCGUGGGGAGCAAACAGG
rnacentral:rRNA from 1 species